UAGGUACUAUAUAACUUGUUACAGGUUAUCUUUUGAUAUGUUCAUCUAACAUUCGGUUUUAUGGUGAUGGAAGGUUGGCUAUUGCGGCUGCUGAAAGGCUGUUGAUUUUGGAACCUCUUAACUGGCGACUUCGAAGAGACCUUGGUAUGAUGCACUACUACGUCAGGUAAACAAACACCUUCUGUUGCUUGUAUUCAUUAAACUUGGUAUUGGUCGGUUUAGUUUGAUUCUGGAAUGGUUAAUUCUUGAGCAGGCAAUCUAGAGAGGCGAUUCAAGAGCUGAGCAUAUGUAUAGCCUUUGCAUUUGACGAAGAAGAAGCAAAAGUGUUGACGCUUUUUGUUGAGAAACUUCAUCUGCUCUCGUCGUUGAAGUCGCCCUUUGGCUCUGAUCGCUUGGCCGUUCGCUGAGAACCCUCUCUAUCUCUCUCUACUUCACUUGUGAAUACUCUUUUCUAUUUCUUUUUCAUCAUCUCUUUUGUGUUUCGAUAAAUCCCUUUUGUGGGGAGAUGUGUAACUUUGGUUGUGUGUAACUCUUUUACCUUCUUCUGAUCAGAGUAAUAAUUGAUUUCCCCCCAUGGGAGAAACAAAACAUGGCCUUGAGUUUAUUAUGAAACAAACAAGUUAUAUUGUUUCCAAACCAGAAGAUUGAACCAACUAUCAGGAUUGAAUACUUCUACUGUACAUACAAUCUAAAAUAUAUGAACAUGCGAAUUGUAAUGGAUUCUUCUACAAAACAUGGAUGCAUGCAGAGUAGCAAGAGUUAAGUGGUGGUCGUAUAGCGGUGAGGACUAAUUUAGUACAUGUCAGUAAAUUUGUCUUUCUUGGGUUCGCUUUUAGAUAAGAACAGAGUUGAUGUUAUUUAGUUAGUUUAGGUCCAUGCAGUUUACAUGGUAUUCAAGUAACAAAUUAUAUAGUUACCAUGUGAUAAUAGUCGAAAAAUAUUUUAAACUCAUAUAGUAUGGUUGUAAGUCUGUUAUAUAGCACUAAUGUUAUCUCCUUUUCGAGCUUUCUUGACUUUAGAUCCGAAUCUUCAAAUGGGGUUUUUGUUAUCUUUUCCAUGUUGCAGCAUUCUUGUUUAGCGUUAUAUACAUUGAAGUUUGUCAGCGUCUCGGCUUGCCUAUUGUGGGAGCUCGAGUUGGGGAAGAGUUUUUGAUCUGGCCUAAGACUGAGAAUCCUGAAGAACUCUUUAGUGAACAUUCAGGACAGAGCUUGUUUGCUAUUAUCAAUGGAAGGUGCGUUGAUGAUCCUGGUUCAAUGGCGUCUGAUUUAACCGGAAAGUCACUUCUAGGCCUUGAUGUUGCUACAAACAGAGACAUUAUAGGGAUUGCUCUCGCCAACUUGAUUGUAAGUUCUAUCAACUACACAUUCUUUAACUUCAAUAUGUUUUUCAGACUGAUACUGAUUCUAUUAUAUUUGCCUUUUGGUUUGUUUUUUAGAGGGUUCACUGGAGACGUGCUUCGAAGCCAUCACCUGGACUAAUGCUGACUUCUCCUCUUAGUCAACUUAACAACACCAGUGUUUCUAAUUUUCCAUUGUUGCGGCCUCAGGAUCUUAGGUACUAUAUAACUUGUUACAGGUUAUCUUUUGAUAUGUUCAUCUAACAUUCGGUUUUAUGGUGAUGGAAGGUUGGCUAUUGCGGCUGCUGAAAGGCUGUUGAUUUUGGAACCUCUUAACUGGCGACUUCGAAGAGACCUUGGUAUGAUGCACUACUACGUCAGGUAAACAAACACCUUCUGUUGCUUGUAUUCAUUAAACUUGGUAUUGGUCGGUUUAGUUUGAUUCUGGAAUGGUUAAUU
rnacentral:lncRNA from 1 species